UACGAAGGGGGCUAGCGUUGCUCGGAAUCACUGGGCGUAAAGGGUGCGUAGGCGGUUGUUUAAGUCUGUCGUGAAAUCCCCGGGCUCAACCUGGGAAUGGCGAUGGAUACUGGGCAGCUAGAGUGUGUCAGAGGAUGGUGGAAUUCCCGGUGUAGCGGUGAAAUGCGCAGAUAUCAGGAGGAACACCAAUGGCGAAGGCAGCUCGCUGGGACGGUACUGACGCUGAGGCGCGAAAGCGUGGGGAGCAAACAGG
rnacentral:rRNA from 1 species